UACGGAGGAUGCAAGCGUUAUCCGGAAUUAUUGGGCGUAAAGCGUCCGUAGGUGGCACUUCAAGUCUGCUGUCAAAGACCGGGGCUUAACCCUGGAAAGGCAGUGGAAACUGAAGCGCUAGAGUGUGGCAGGGGUAGAGGGAAUUCCCGGUGUAGCGGUGAAAUGCGUAGAGAUCGGGAAGAACAUCGGUGGCGAAAGCGCUCUACUGGGCCAUAACUGACACUCAGGGACGAAAGCUAGGGGAGCGAAUGGG
rnacentral:rRNA from 1 species